rfam:Callithrix jacchus chromosome X, whole genome shotgun sequence
AUCACCUGGGAAUCUUGUUAAAAUGCAGAUGCUGAAGCAGUAGGUCUGGGGAGGGUCUGAUAUUUUGCAUUUCUAACAAGCUCCCAGGUGAUGCCUA